rnacentral:rRNA from 1 species
CCCUUAGAUGUUCUGGGCCGCACGCGUGCUACACUGAGUGGAUCAGCGGGUCAGGUUGCGCGAAAGUGUUUCCUAAUCUUUAAAUCCGCUCGUGAUGGGGAUUGACGGUUGCAAUUUUCCGUCAUGAACGAGGAAUACCUUGUAAGCGCGGGUCAUCAUCCCGCGCUGAAUACGUCCCUGCCCUUUGUACACACCGCCCGUCGCUCCUACCGAUUGAGUGGUCCGGUGAGGCUUUGGGAUCUGAGCGGAAAGAGCGUUUCGCUGUUUCUGCCCGGAAAACUCAGUCGAACCUUAUCAUUUAGAGGAUGGAGAAGUCGUAACA